rnacentral:rRNA from 1 species
UACGUAGGGUGCAAGCGUUAAUCGGAAUUACUGGGCGUAAAGCGUGCGCAGGCGGUAAUGUAAGACAGUUGUGAAAUCCCCGGGCUCAACCUGGGAACUGCAUCUGUGACUGCAUUGCUGGAGUACGGCAGAGGGGGAUGGAAUUCCGCGUGUAGCAGUGAAAUGCGUAGAUAUGCGGAGGAACACCGAUGGCGAAGGCAACCCCCUGGGCCUGUACUGACGCUCAUGCACGAAAGCGUGGGGAGCAAACAGG